rnacentral:lncRNA from 1 species
GGGGCUGUGCCCGCCGCGUCGGCCUUGCAGGUGGCCUGGGCGUCCUCCGCCGCCGCGCCCAGCCUCCGCCACGGCCCGAGCUUGCGCGUGCAGCUGGCUGCAGCCACAGGCUGUGUGCCCUCGGGCCCGUUGCUAAACCUCUCUGUGCCCACUACACCCCGACCCCUGAAGCAGCGGCACUGGGUGGGCAGGGGCAGAGUUCUCCGUGAACGUCCUGCAGCCCCUCCCCUCCCACUCCCCGCCGCGCGCCUGUUUGGCCGGAGCCCGCGGACGCGCUCCCGCGCGGGGUGCCUCGCAGCCUGGGCCGCGAAGGAGGCGCGGGAGGGGGCGCCGCUGGCAGCUGCAGCCCCUGGGGUCCGAGCCCCCGACCCUGACCUCGGACGGUCGCAGUCGCGAAGGGGCGCGGCUCCCGGCACCGCUUCGGAGCAGCCCCGGGUCCCGCGAGGCCGCGCCGGAGGGGCGGGGCUUGGGUUUCGGUUUCUUGCAAAAGCGGAGGCCACAGGGAAAUCGAGGAGUUUCCGGGAACCGCGCCGCGGCGCUGAGAUGGUCUCAGCAGUGGGACCGUUUCGCAGACGUGCUGCAGUGGGAGACGAUGAAGGAUUCGGCGGCCUCCCUGAGCAGCACUGGGUUUGUUUCUGCCUGUUUUUGUCCCUGCGGAGGAGACCUCUGCACCCCUUUCCAUCACCACAGUCAGCUGUGUGGCCCCUUAAAGUUCUGCUGUGACCGGGAACUGAGUGGCAGAGCAAGGGGCAGGGUGAUUAAGUGCCAGGCAGGUGGUCCUUCUCCUCUCCAGAAGGCCGGCUUCAGUUUAGGUGGGACCUCGGCCAGGCGUACGAUGUUCCAGUCCUUUCUUGACCUGUCAGCCCUCAGAAGAUGUCUGUCCACGGAGUGCUUCACCUGCAGGAGUGAAAGGUCAUCACAGACCUUCUUGCCUGGAUGACCCUGGAGAAAGCAUAAUUGCCCUCUGUCCAGGUGACAGGUGAUAAACUAGUGUCACACAGGGGAUAAGCCACACGCAGUGAGCACGUCACCAUAUCUGAUAGCCAGCACCUGAGAGUGCUGCACUGAGAGUGUUUCAGAGGACCACUGGGGCCCUGACCUGGGCUUCCGAAGCUCUCUGUGACUGUCUCAGAAGCAGGUGGCACGCCAGGUUGGCACUAGGUAGAGGUGGUCUUCUCCCAGCCCUCAGAGUGCCACUCACUCUCAGGAACUGAUGCUUCACUGGCGGUGUAUGCCGGGGUCUCCUGUGGCCUUGCCCUCUUUUUCAGACUGUCAGAAAAUGGUGCUUCCCCAAAAGAGAGGACCUAAUUCCUGUGCCUCCUUUAGAUCAGUCAGGGAGACUUUUGGUCCCUGGCUAGGCAGGAUCAACGCUCCUCCUCAGCCUGAAAGAGUUACUGAAGAUGGAACAUCAGCUUUCUGCAACCCUCUGACUCUAACCCCUUAAGAAUAAAGGACCGGGGGGUGGGGGGGGUGGUGAUGUAGCUCAGCGGCAUAAACACUUGCCUGGCAAGCCUGAGGUCAUGAGUUCAAUUCCCGAUACCAAAAAAAAAAAAAAAAAAAAGGGACCAAAGUCUGGGGAGGGGGGUUAGGUAGGACAGAGAAAUAAAACUAGGUAGAAAGGAGACCAGGAAAUCCAGAAUUUACAAUUUUACUUUCUUCGCAGGGCAUGGUACCACACACAUGUAAUCCCAGCACUUGGGAGGCCGAGGCAGGAGGAUCGUUGUGAGUUCGAGACCAGCCUGAGCUACAAAGUGAGCUCAAGUCCAGAGUAAACUGCAUAGUGAGACCCUGUCUCAAAAAAAUUUUUUUUUACUUUUUUUUUUUGGGGGGGGGUACUGGGAAUCAAAUUGCACAGCUGAGCUAUAUCCCUGGCCCAAAAAUUAUACUUUUAAAGAGAAAUUGCAGCUUCAGAAGACAAGCCCUGUUUAUUUACUUUUUUUCUUCUCUCAAAACAGCAAACCACACUUGGGAGGCUGAGGCAGAAGGAUUGCUGGGUUCAAGGCCAGCCUGAAUUGCAUAGUGAGACCCUGUCUCAAAAAAAAAAAAAAAAAAAAAAAGCCAGCAAACUUGGGCAGCUCCCUUUCAGCUGCAAAUGGGUUUGCGCAUUCCCUUUUCACCUGCAAAUUGCCCUUCCGUGCAGCCCAGGAAGCAGCUGCGGUGGAGACAGCUGGUCUACCGCAGGCAUCUCUGCCUCACACCUCUGUGGGUAGCCUGCAGGGUAACCUGGCAGACAGAACACACGUCUGAGAUCACCUGUAGUGGACUGACAACUGGUGGUCAACUUAUAACAUCCAGCUGAACUUAACCAGCGUGGUGCUGGGAGUGGGAGGCCCACCUGAGGGUUGUUGCCAGCAGCAAAAGAGGCAGAACUGGAGGAGAAGAAAAAAGGCUGUUGGGAACUGAGAAAGGCUGUUGGGAGCUGGUAGAAGCUGUUGGGAAGCUGUUGGAAGCUGAGAGAAGCUGUAAGGAGCUGGUGGUUCUCUUGGAGGAGCUUGUCGUGCUGGCUCUCCUGAUGAACUCAGCUGUUUUCAUCCUCCAAAGGGGUUAAGGACCUUGUUGGCACUGAGAAUGGCUUCAGUUCACUUUGGGGGAGCUCUGGUCCUCACUCUGAGCAUCACUUCCUGGCUCCGGAGGGGAAGAUGGUGCACUGCUCAGUCUCCUGGAGAAGCUUGCUGCGUUGACUUUCCUGAUGGGAACUCUGCUUUCCUCAUCAUCGGAAGAACUCGAGACCUCACUGUUGCUGGUCGUGGCUGUGGUACUUUUCAGGGGAGCUCUGGUUCUUACUUUGAGUGUCACCUUCUGGCUCCAGUGCCGAUCGCUCAGCCUGCUAGCACAGAUCCUUCAUCCCGCUGGCACAGACUUUCUAGCUUCCACCACUGACCUCUGGGCCUUUCACAGCGCAGAUCUGUGAAACAGGCCUGCAUGAGGCAUUGUUGUGGGCUCUGGGCCUCCAGCUGGACUUAUGGGAGGCAUUGUUAUGGACUCUAGGUCUUCAGCUAGACUUAUGCAGGACAUUAUUGUGGGAUCCAGGCCCUCAGCCGGAUUCUUUGGUCUUUAGUGUGUGGACAGAUUUCCUGCGCUCUCUUGUAUAUGCUUCUUUGGGUGACUAUUAUAAAUCAUCUUAUAAAAUAUGUGUCCAUAUUGUUCACCAUGCAAUAAGCCCCAAACCACAAUGUCACCCAUAUUUGCCUUUAAAUGUCCCCUGGCCUGGCUUGUACCACGUGCAUCAAUCCGUGGAGCACCCACACCCCCUCUUGACUGCGUCCUGUGUGUCCUAAUAAAUCCUUCUCGUGCCUUUUGU